rnacentral:sRNA from 1 species
CUUCGCGCUGUUGAAAAUAGCGGCUGUGAUGCCGCUGCACAGCAGCGGCAUCACAGCCGCUGCUUAAGCGCCCGCAGGCGCCGCUGCAGCCUGCAGCGGCGCCUGCUGCUGCCGCUGCCGAC